GUCGAACGAUGAUGCCCAGCUUGCUGGGCGGAUUAGUGGCGAACGGGUGAGUAAUACGUGAGUAACCUGCCCUUGACUCUGGGAUAAGCCUGGGAAACUGGGUCUAAUACUGGAUACUACCUCUUGCCGCAUGGUGGGUGGUGGAAAGGGUUUUACUGGUUUUGGAUGGGCUCACGGCCUAUCAGCUUGUUGGUGGGGUAAUGGCUCACCAAGGCGACGACGGGUAGCCGGCCUGAGAGGGUGACCGGCCACACUGGGACUGAGACACGGCCCAGACUCCUACGGGAGGCAGCAGUGGGGAAUAUUGCACAAUGGGCGGAAGCCUGAUGCAGCGACGCCGCGUGAGGGAUGACGGCCUUCGGGUUGUAAACCUCUUUCAGUAGGGAAGAAGCGAGAGUGACGGUACCUGCAGAAGAAGCGCCGGCUAACUACGUGCCAGCAGCCGCGGUAAUACGUAGGGCGCAAGCGUUGUCCGGAAUUAUUGGGCGUAAAGAGCUCGUAGGCGGUUUGUCGCGUCUGCUGUGAAAGCCCGGGGCUCAACCCCGGGUCUGCAGUGGGUACGGGCAGACUAGAGUGCAGUAGGGGAGACUGGAAUUCCUGGUGUAGCGGUGAAAUGCGCAGAUAUCAGGAGGAACACCGAUGGCGAAGGCAGGUCUCUGGGCUGUUACUGACGCUGAGGAGCGAAAGCAUGGGGAGCGAACAGGAUUAGAUACCCUGGUAGUCCAUGCCGUAAACGUUGGGCACUAGGUGUGGGGGACAUUCCACGUUUUCCGCGCCGUAGCUAACGCAUUAAGUGCCCCGCCUGGGGAGUACGGCCGCAAGGCUAAAACUCAAAGGAAUUGACGGGGGCCCGCACAAGCGGCGGAGCAUGCGGAUUAAUUCGAUGCAACGCGAAGAACCUUACCAAGGCUUGACAUUCACCGGACCGCCCCAGAGAUGGGGUUUCCCUUCGGGGCUGGUGGACAGGUGGUGCAUGGUUGUCGUCAGCUCGUGUCGUGAGAUGUUGGGUUAAGUCCCGCAACGAGCGCAACCCUCGUUCUAUGUUGCCAGCACGUGAUGGUGGGGACUCAUAGGAGACUGCCGGGGUCAACUCGGAGGAAGGUGGGGAUGACGUCAAAUCAUCAUGCCCCUUAUGUCUUGGGCUUCACGCAUGCUACAAUGGCCGGUACAAAGGGUUGCGAUACUGUGAGGUGGAGCUAAUCCCAAAAAGCCGGUCUCAGUUCGGAUUGAGGUCUGCAACUCGACCUCAUGAAGUCGGAGUCGCUAGUAAUCGCAGAUCAGCAACGCUGCGGUGAAUACGUUCCCGGGCCUUGUACACACCGCCCGUCAAGUCACGAAAGUUGGUAACACCCGAAGCCGGUGGCCUAACCCCUUGUGGGAGGGAG
rnacentral:rRNA from 1 species